rnacentral:tRNA from 1 species
UGUAUCGUGGUCCAGUGGCAGGACACCUGCCUUCCAUGCAGGAAACUAUGGUUCGAUACCAUACUUUGCAA